UAAAUUGUACCCUCAGAAACGAUAAGAAGACAAUGAUGUUAUUAUAUAUUCUUUACAAACUGAGUUGAAAAAUAUAUUGGUAGGUUUAAUACUGUUCAUUAAACCUACGAAGAAGCUAUUGUCUACUUGUCCAGACUAAAAUUUGUGGUAUCAGGUCCGUUCGCGCCCAAUAUACUUUCACACCCUACACGUUCGCACCCAAUAUACUUUCACACCCUACACGUUCGCACCUCGCACGUUCGCACCAAUUUCUAUUCGCACUCUACACGUUCGCGCCCAGUUUUAAUUCAAAUUCCAAUUGAAUAAUUGGAAAAUCAUGAUUUUUGUUUUUAAUUGCUUUGGUGUGAAUACUGAAUGUAUUUGUAGCUUGGUAUGAGUAAAAAGAUUGAAGAUUUUUAUUGAAAAACACAAAAGAUAAUUGUUUUUAACAGCUUGGUCCCUUUGAUCUGAAACAAUGAAACAAAAAAAUAUAGCAAAACACUAUUACUGAGACUACUAUAACACUCUCAGACUAUGACUAUUAUAACCAAAAUAUGAUCAAACAUGAUAAAAUUUAUUCAACACACAAAUUAAACGCAGUCAGAAUCUCACUCAAUUUGAAACAAGUCAAUGAAACAAAGUUAUAUAGCAAUACACUAACCAAAACAUGAUUAAGAGUUAUUCAACACAAAAUAAAAGGUUUACAGAAUUCCACUUUAUUUAGAAAGGAAUAAUUUUAAAAAAAAAUACUACUUGCCAAAAUGUGAUUACAAAGUUAUUAAACCCAAAACUAAUUUUAAUUGGGCGCGAACAUGUAGGGUGCGAAAGUGAAAGGGGGCGAACAUGAGUGGGCGCGAACGGACCCGGAUUCAAAAUUUGUCAUGUGUAAGACGGUAACAAAUUUAUAUAUGUUGUUUUAAUAUCAUGGGAUUCAUGAUCAGAGAUCAUCAGAGACAUAUAAUACAUAAUAAUAGUCGACUUUCAUAUUAUAUUUGAUGUCAGCGGUUAUGCGUAACGUCACGUGAUACCCGACAAGUUUUUUUCCGCGAAAAUAUAAACAAAGUAAAAAAGAAUGGUAAAACUAAAACGUUGUGUUUGGGGAACCUGCAACAGCGAUGACAGGUAUAAGCAUAAGCCUCAUAUGUUAGGAGUGGAAUUCUUUCCUAUACCUAAGCCUAAAACAAUAUAUGUCUCUGAUAUCAUGUUUAUCAGAAUGACAACUAUCUUGAGGUCCUAUCCCUACUUCAUCGUUAAUUUUAGCAACUUCACAUUUAUUAUGGGGGUCUCAUUGGGGGGUUCCGAUCCCGGAUCCCGCUUGCUGUUUUGUCAGAUUCCUGUAUCCCGCUUACACUAUGUACGUAACCAAUUCUCAUUUUUUUGUCAUUUCUCGGGUCCCCCAAGACCUCAUUUCUCGUUUUCACGAUACAAUAAAUUGACUUUCACGUUUCACACUUACGAAAAAUCGGCAAUCCCGCGUCACGCUUAGACCCCAAUGAGACCCACUAUUAUCAAUGUUGCUUGUAUAGUCAUGAUAGUCCAGUCAAACUGAUUAAACAUUUAACCUCAAACUAAUUGCAACAGAAAAUGGUUUAGUUCUAAUCUAUAGCAUUAUGUCCUUUAUAUAUAUAUACACUGAAAAAAGUCCUUUCAAAUCUUUACUUGAGGAAAACUCAAAAUCAGCAUUUUUAAUUUCCUAUGGAAAUUAUUAUUGGAACGGGAGAAAACUCUUGCAAAAAUGAGUCUCUUUUGGUCAGUUUUGGUUGUUUUUCUGGAAAUUUAUGUAAUGUCAUGAAUGUAUGAUACUUUGAUAGGGUUAUAAGUUUGUAUUUGACUAAAUUAUAAAAUCUGCUGCUUAUAAAAUGUACAAGACUGAAGUGUUAUGGGUAGUUUUAUUUUUUUCAUGCAUUUUUCAUUUAACAUGUUAAAUAAAUAGCAAAUUUGAAGCUUUGUAACCAUUUAAAAAAAAUAAUGUGAAAAUUUGGUAUUGUUUAAAUAUAUAUACAUGAUAUACAUGAUAUAGGAAGAUGUGUAUAUAUAUCUGUAUAUUAUAUUUUUUUCAGCAACUUAUUUAUCAAAAGAAACUUUAAACCACAAAAAGAAGAAUACAUGCUUAAAUAUUUUUCAUUAAAUUUGAGAUUCUUUACCUUGACAUGUUGAAAAAUUCAAUAAAUGGUCAACUAAUGAAUUACAAAAUCUAGAUUAUAGCUUGAUAAAAUAUAUGAAAACACGUUUAGAGUUGUCAUGUUGUUUGUUAUACUCUACAGACCACUAAUAAAUCAAGAACCAAUACAUUCUUAUGAAUAGGAGCGGUAAAGUUAUAAUUUAUUAUCAAUUUUUAUUGAUAUUUCUGCCUUUUUUGCAAGAGUUAACUCCCUCUUCAAUGCAAAUCUCCAUAGGAAUUUUAAAUCAUUAAUGGCGAUUUUUAUAGUCUUCCUCAAGUUAGAUUUUAUGGAACUUUUUUCUAUGUAUAUUUGGGGUAUAAUGCUAAAGAUUUAUACUUAAAAACCUUCUGUUGCAAAUACUUUCGGUUUAGGGUCAAAUUUAUGCUACAUUCAUGACAUUGACUGGACUAUUAACAGUUUAUCAGAUCAUUACAGAUUGGCUUUCCUUGUUUAUUCAUACAGGUGAGACAUUUAAUAUAUAUCUUUGGGGCAACAGUUUAUUUACUUAAGAUAAUUAUGAGAAGCAUGCAUGCCAAUGAGACAAUUCUCAAUCCAAGUUACAAUGCUUGAAAACAUGAAAAAGUUAAGAACACCAUGAACUCAGAGCUUGUAAAUUAUGUUGACAAUUACCAACAUUGUAUUCCUAAUGAACAAAUAAGUUGUAAGGUAUACAUCAAUAAGGCAGUACAGCAUACAGUCACAGCCCUUCUUGUACAUGUUGUAUUAUUUAAUAUUUAGUAUGGAACUAGAAUUACCCAAACAUACAGAUUCAUAAAUGCAGAGAAUGUCUAAAUUGCAGAAAAGUAUCAAAAGGUUAUAUACAUAUGUCUUUAUUUUUUGGUGUUCCUUACAGAGUCGUUCAAGAAAUUACAUACUGGUCACUGGACAUAAACAUUAUCAAUAAGAUGUCAGAGGGAGGAGAGGAUUUAGUCACACUCAAUGGUACUCUACAGAGACACAUAAACACACAGGCUGGAGAUAAACAAUAUCAAUAAGAUGUCAGAGGGAGGAGAGGAUUUAGUCACAAUCAACGGUACACUACAGAGACACAUAAACACACAGGCUGAUAAAACACAUCAUAAAUGUGAUGUCUGUGCUAGAGAUUUUAGUCAAAGAAGUAACUUAAAGGCACACAUGAGUACACAUACUAGAAAUAACCCUCAUGGCUGUGAUGUAUGUGGUAAAGGUUUUAGUUUUCUUAGUAAUUUACAGAGUCACAUGAGAAAACAUACAGGCGUUAAACCCCAUGAGUGUGAUGUAUGUGGUCAACAGUUUAGUCGGCGUUGGAGUUUACAGAUUCACAUGAGAACUCACACAGGUGAUAAACCUUAUGACUGUGAUGUUUGUGAUAAACGCUUUAGUCAGC
rnacentral:lncRNA from 1 species